UACGUAGGGUGCAAGCGUUGUCCGGAAUUAUUGGGCGUAAAGAGCUUGUAGGCGGUUUGUCGCGUCUGCUGUGAAAUUUCGGGGCUCAACCCCGAACUUGCAGUGGGUACGGGCAGACUAGAGUGUGGUAGGGGAGACUGGAAUUCCUGGUGUAGCGGUGAAAUGCGCAGAUAUCAGGAGGAACACCGAUGGCGAAGGCAGGUCUCUGGGCCGAAAUUGACGCUGAGGAGCGAAAGCGUGGGGAGCGAACAGG
rnacentral:rRNA from 1 species